CUUAGCGGCGAACGGGUGGAGUAACGCGUUUGGUGACCUGCCUCCGAAGUUUUGGGAUAACAGUUCGAAAGGGACUGCUAAUACCCGGAUGUGAUCGCGGAGAUUUAGAGGCUCUGUGAUUUAAAGGAGAAAAUUUCGGCUUUCGAGAAGGGGCCUGCGUCCCAUCAGCUAGUUGGUAAGGUAAAGGCUUACCAAGGCGAUGACGGGUAGGGGACCUGAGAGGGUUGGCCCCCCCACAAUGGAACUGAAACACGGUCCAUACACCUACGGGUGGCAGCAGUAGGGAAUAUUGCAUAAUGGGCGAAAGCCUGAUGCAGCAACGCCGCGUGUGCGAUGAAGGCCUUCGGGUCGUAAAGCACUUUUGGAGGGGAUGAGGAAGGACAGUACCCUUCGAAUAAGCUUCGGCUAACUACGUG
rnacentral:rRNA from 1 species